GUCGGUCAGGUAGCAGGCGGAGCCAGUUACAGUCAGUCUGCCAGGGAGCAGGCGGAGCCAGUUACAGACUGUCUGCCAGGGAGCAGGCGGAGCCAGUUACAGACUGUCUGCCAGGGAGCAGGCGAGUUUCAGUUACAGACUGUUCUGGCCAGGGAGCAGGCGAGCCAGUUACAGACUGUCUGCCAGGGAGCAGGCGGAGCCAGUUACAGACUGUCUGCCAGGGAGCAGGCGGAGCCAGUUACAGACGGUCUGCCAGGGAGCAGGCGGAGCCAGUUACAGUCAGUCUGCCAGGGGGCAGGCGGAGCCAGUUACAGUCAUUCUGCCAGGGAGCAGGCGGAGCCAGUUACAGUCAGUCUGCCAAGGAGCAGGUGGAGCCAGUUAUAGUCUGCCUGCCAGGGAGCAGGCGGAGCCUGUUAGUCAUUCUGCCAGGAAGCAGGUGGAGCCAGUUAGACUGUCUGCCAUGGAGCAGGCGGAGCCAAUUGCAGUCAGUCUGCCAGGGAGCAGGCGGAGCCAAUUACAGUCAGUCUGCCAAGGAGCAGGUGGAGCCAGUUAUAGUCAGUCGGUCAGGUAGCAGGCGGAGCCAGUUACAGUCAGUCGGACAGGUAGCAGGCGGAGCCAGUUACAGUCAGUCGGUCAGGUAGCAGGCGGAGCCAGUUACAGUCAGUCGGUCAGGUAGCAGGCGGAGCCAGUUACAAUCAGUCUGUCAGGUAGCAGGCGGAGCCAGUUACAGUCAGUCGGUCAGGUAGCAGGCGGAGCCAGUUACAGUCAGUCGGUCAGGUAGCAGGCGGAGCCAGUUACAGUCAGUCGGUCGGUCAGGUAGCAGGCGGAGCCAGUUACAGUCAGUCGGUCAGGUAGCAGGCGGAGCCAGUUAUAGUCAGUCGGUCAGGUAGCAGGCGGAGCCAGUUACAGUCGGUCAGGUAGCAGGCGGAGCCAGUUAUAGUCAGUCGGUCAGGUAGCAGGCGGAGCCAGUUACAGUCAAUCGGUCAGGUAGUAGGCGGAGCCAGUUACAGUCAGUCGGUCAGGUAGCAGGCGUAGCCAAUUACAGUCAGUCUGCCAGGGAGCAGGCGAAGCCAGUUAUAGUCAGUCUGCCAAGGAGCAGGUGGAGCCAGUUAUAGUCAGUCGGUCAGGUAGCAGGCGGAGCCAGUUACAGUCAGUCGGUCAGGUAGCAGGCGGAGCCAG
rnacentral:lncRNA from 1 species